UGAAGGUCAGUCUGAAGGGCUUACCUGACACGCUGAGAGGAGUUGCAUGGCCGACGUCAGCCUGUGUCGUGAGAUGACCUGUUAAAUCAGGUAACAGGCGAGACCCACAUGUAUACUUACCCUGAAUUGGAGAAAUGUAUACAGACUGCCUGGGUAACCAGGAGGAAGGCGUGGGCUACGUUAGGUGAGUACUGCCCGAAUCCCCUGGGCUACACGCGCGCGGCAAUGCUGCAUUCAGAGGGACGCAACUCUGAAAAGAGGAGCCAAUCCCUAAUAUCCAGCUUAGUUCAGAUCGAAGCUUGAAACCCAGCUUCGUGACGCCGGAAUCCGUAGUAAUCGUCCUUUAGCAAAGAACGGUGAAUAAGUCCCUGCCCCUUGCACACACUGCCCGUCAAACCAACCGAGUUUUGCAUUGUUGAGGCUCAUUAGAGACGAAACUUUGUAAGACAAGGUAGGUUAAGUCGACACAAGGUAUCUGUAGGGGAACCUGCAGAUGGAUCACCUCCU
rnacentral:rRNA from 1 species